GGGUUGUGAGGUUAAGCGACUAAGCGUACACGGUGGAUGCCCUGGCAGUCAGAGGCGAUGAAGGACGUGCUAAUCUGCGAUAAGCGUCGGUAAGGUGAUAUGAACCGUUAUAACCGGCGAUUUCCGAAUGGGGAAACCCAGUGUGAUUCGUCACACUAUCAUUAACUGAAUCCAUAGGUUAAUGAGGCGAACCGGGGGAACUGAAACAUCUAAGUACCCCGAGGAAAAGAAAUCAACCGAGAUUCCCCCAGUAGCGGCGAGCGAACGGGGAGCAGCCCAGAGCCUGAAUCAGUGUGUGUGUUAGUGGAAGCGUCUGGAAAGGCGCGCGAUACAGGGUGACAGCCCCGUACACAAAAAUGCACAUGCUGUGAGCUCGAUGAGUAGGGCGGGACACGUGGUAUCCUGUCUGAAUAUGGGGGGACCAUCCUCCAAGGCUAAAUACUCCUGACUGACCGAUAGUGAACCAGUACCGUGAGGGAAAGGCGAAAAGAACCCCGGCGAGGGGAGUGAAAAAGAACCUGAAACCGUGUACGUACAAGCAGUGGGAGCACGCUUCGGCGUGUGACUGCGUACCUUUUGUAUAAUGGGUCAGCGACUUAUAUUCUGUAGCAAGGUUAACCGAAUAGGGGAGCCGAAGGGAAACCGAGUCUUAACUGGGCGUUAAGUUGCAGGGUAUAGACCCGAAACCCGGUGAUCUAGCCAUGGGCAGGUUGAAGGUUGGGUAACACUAACUGGAGGACCGAACCGACUAAUGUUGAAAAAUUAGCGGAUGACUUGUGGCUGGGGGUGAAAGGCCAAUCAAACCGGGAGAUAGCUGGUUCUCCCCGAAAGCUAUUUAGGUAGCGCCUCGUGAAUUCAUCUCCGGGGGUAGAGCACUGUUUCGGCAAGGGGGUCAUCCCGACUUACCAACCCGAUGCAAACUGCGAAUACCGGAGAAUGUUAUCACGGGAGACACACGGCGGGUGCUAACGUCCGUCGUGAAGAGGGAAACAACCCAGACCGCCAGCUAAGGUCCCAAAGUCAUGGUUAAGUGGGAAACGAUGUGGGAAGGCCCAGACAGCCAGGAUGUUGGCUUAGAAGCAGCCAUCAUUUAAAGAAAGCGUAAUAGCUCACUGGUCGAGUCGGCCUGCGCGGAAGAUGUAACGGGGCUAAACCAUGCACCGAAGCUGCGGCAGCGACGCUUAUGCGUUGUUGGGUAGGGGAGCGUUCUGUAAGCCUGUGAAGGUGUGCUGUGAGGCAUGCUGGAGGUAUCAGAAGUGCGAAUGCUGACAUAAGUAACGAUAAAGCGGGUGAAAAGCCCGCUCGCCGGAAGACCAAGGGUUCCUGUCCAACGUUAAUCGGGGCAGGGUGAGUCGACCCCUAAGGCGAGGCCGAAAGGCGUAGUCGAUGGGAAACAGGUUAAUAUUCCUGUACUUGGUGUUACUGCGAAGGGGGGACGGAGAAGGCUAUGUUGGCCGGGCGACGGUUGUCCCGGUUUAAGCGUGUAGGCUGGUUUUCCAGGCAAAUCCGGAAAAUCAAGGCUGAGGCGUGAUGACGAGGCACUACGGUGCUGAAGCAACAAAUGCCCUGCUUCCAGGAAAAGCCUCUAAGCAUCAGGUAACAUCAAAUCGUACCCCAAACCGACACAGGUGGUCAGGUAGAGAAUACCAAGGCGCUUGAGAGAACUCGGGUGAAGGAACUAGGCAAAAUGGUGCCGUAACUUCGGGAGAAGGCACGCUGAUAUGUAGGUGAAGUCCCUCGCGGAUGGAGCUGAAAUCAGUCGAAGAUACCAGCUGGCUGCAACUGUUUAUUAAAAACACAGCACUGUGCAAACACGAAAGUGGACGUAUACGGUGUGACGCCUGCCCGGUGCCGGAAGGUUAAUUGAUGGGGUUAGCCGCAAGGCGAAGCUCUUGAUCGAAGCCCCGGUAAACGGCGGCCGUAACUAUAACGGUCCUAAGGUAGCGAAAUUCCUUGUCGGGUAAGUUCCGACCUGCACGAAUGGCGUAAUGAUGGCCAGGCUGUCUCCACCCGAGACUCAGUGAAAUUGAACUCGCUGUGAAGAUGCAGUGUACCCGCGGCAAGACGGAAAGACCCCGUGAACCUUUACUAUAGCUUGACACUGAACAUUGAGCCUUGAUGUGUAGGAUAGGUGGGAGGCUUUGAAGUGUGGACGCCAGUCUGCAUGGAGCCGACCUUGAAAUACCACCCUUUAAUGUUUGAUGUUCUAACGUUGACCCGUAAUCCGGGUUGCGGACAGUGUCUGGUGGGUAGUUUGACUGGGGCGGUCUCCUCCUAAAGAGUAACGGAGGAGCACGAAGGUUGGCUAAUCCUGGUCGGACAUCAGGAGGUUAGUGCAAUGGCAUAAGCCAGCUUGACUGCGAGCGUGACGGCGCGAGCAGGUGCGAAAGCAGGUCAUAGUGAUCCGGUGGUUCUGAAUGGAAGGGCCAUCGCUCAACGGAUAAAAGGUACUCCGGGGAUAACAGGCUGAUACCGCCCAAGAGUUCAUAUCGACGGCGGUGUUUGGCACCUCGAUGUCGGCUCAUCACAUCCUGGGGCUGAAGUAGGUCCCAAGGGUAUGGCUGUUCGCCAUUUAAAGUGGUACGCGAGCUGGGUUUAGAACGUCGUGAGACAGUUCGGUCCCUAUCUGCCGUGGGCGCUGGAGAACUGAGGGGGGCUGCUCCUAGUACGAGAGGACCGGAGUGGACGCAUCACUGGUGUUCGGGUUGUCAUGCCAAUGGCACUGCCCGGUAGCUAAAUGCGGAAGAGAUAAGUGCUGAAAGCAUCUAAGCACGAAACUUGCCCCGAGAUGAGUUCUCCCUGACCCUUUAAGGGUCCUGAAGGAACGUUGAAGACGACGACGUUGAUAGGCCGGGUGUGUAAGCGCAGCGAUGCGUUGAGCUAACCGGUACUAAUGAACCGUGAGGCUUAACCUUACAACGCCGAAGCUGUU
rnacentral:rRNA from 1 species